CUGCCUACGGGACGCAGCAGUGGGGAAUAUUGCACAAUGGGGGAAACCCUGAUGCAGCGACGCCGCGUGAAGGAAGAAGUAUUUCGGUAUGUAAACUUCUAUCAGCAGGGAAGAAAAUGACGGUACCUGACUAAGAAGCCCCGGCUAACUACGUGCCAGCAGCCGCGGUAAUACGUAGGGGGCAAGCGUUAUCCGGAUUUACUGGGUGUAAAGGGAGCGUAGACGGCGGAACAAGUCAGAAGUGAAAACCCGGGGCUCAACCCUGGGAGUGCUUUUGAAACUGUUUGGCUGGAGUGCAGGAGCGG
rnacentral:rRNA from 1 species